rnacentral:rRNA from 1 species
UACGUAUGGUGCAAGCGUUAUCCGGAUUUACUGGGUGUAAAGGGAGCGCAGGCGGCGCGUUAAGCCUGGUGUGAAAGCCCGCGGCCCAACCGCGGGACUGCAUUGGGAACUGGCGCGCUGGAGUGCCGGAGGGGUAGGCGGAAUUCCUAGUGUAGCGGUGAAAUGCGUAGAUAUUAGGAGGAGCACCAGUGGCGAAGGCGGCCUACUGGACGGUGACUGACGCUGAGGCUCGAAAGCGUGGGGAGCAAACAGG